AGCUCAGUAUUUUAUAAACUCCUGCAGAAUAAAUCAGAGACAACACCUUCAUAAAGAUCCUGACAGAAGUCUCAACUCAAACUACAAAAUCAUGUUACUCAUCUCUUCUGUUUUGAUAUUUGUCUUCAGCUACUGUGAAUCUAAUGGGAAUGUCAUCAAACCAAACCAGCUAUCUGUAGUUUUAGCUGAAGGAAGCAGCACCACUCUGUCCUGUUCAUAUGAUGGAUCAGCUUACAGUCUUCACUGGUAUCGACAGAAGCCUGGAUCAAAACCAGAGUUUCUGCUGCUGAUUGUGAGGUCUACUAAAACUGUAGUCCCAGCUUCUCCACCUCAUCCACAUAUGUCCACCAGACACCAUGAUAACAAAAGUGUGGAUCUGGAGAUCUUCUCUGCUGCUGUAUCAGACUCUGCAGUGUAUUACUGUGCCCUGGAGCCCACAGUGACAGGAAAACAUGCUACACCCUACAAAAACCUUCUCAUGCAUAUGUUUCAGAUGAUAUCUUUGAUUUCCUUUAUGCUGAUAAUAUAA